AGUCUCUGCUGGAUGUUGCCUUACGCUCCACACCAGCUGCAGCACAUCCUUGUCAUGAGGACUUAACGUGUUGUGUGGAAAGAAUGUCGUUGCCUAAAAGCUUGCGUGCACUUAAGGAUCUAGUUGAUAGUAGGACUCUUCCAGGCAUCAAUGAUGAGGAAGAACCCAUGGGGAUUACUGGCCUUAAAGUGAUACAGUUUAUCUCAAAAAAGUUGAAACAAUUUAAAGAAAGCAAUGUUAUAAAAUAAAAGCGAGUAGGGUGUUCGUUCCCUUAAUAUCAGUGGUACAUCCAUCUCAACAUCAUCGUUACUCUGUCGUUCAAUGCUUAAAUUUAUUAAUACCCUUCUACACUACUUGACAUUUGAGGUUCUUGAACCCAAUUGGCAUGUAAUGCACAACCGGAUUCAGACUGCAAAGAGCAUUGAUGAGAGGCUAUACAUUGGCUCCCAUAGAGCGAAAAAACUCCCUCCUAUAAUGGUUGUUGAGGUUGUUUCUAUUCGAAACCACGA